rnacentral:rRNA from 1 species
ACACGUAGGGAGCAAGCGUUGUCCGGAUUUAUUGGGCGUAAAGAGCUCGUAGGCGGUUUUGUAAGUCGGAUGUGAAAACUCAGGGCUCAACCCUGAGACGCCAUCCGAUACUGCAAUGACUAGAGUCCGGUAGGGGAGCAUGGAAUUCCUGGUGUAGCGGUGGAAUGCGCAGAUAUCAGGAGGAACACCAGUGGCGAAGGCGGUGCUCUGGGCCGGUACUGACGCUGAGGAGCGAAAGCAUGGGGAGCAAACAGGAUUAGAAACCCUUGUAGUCC